CUGGUUACCUGUUCCUAGUCCCAACAACCACUCAAUUAACCCCUGCAAUCCCUUCUACACUAACCCCCUUAGUACACACUUUACUGCCACCACUAAGACUUUCAAACCCAGGCGUCUUAGGUUACCCCACACACAGGAGAAUUAUAGUAUCACAGUUCUACUUUUACUGAUAAACCAUAUACAGUUAACCCUUUUUGGUAACGUGUUUACCUGAGCUUUCCUCUGGAGAGUGAAG